rnacentral:rRNA from 1 species
GAUGAACGCUGGCGGCGUGCCUAAUACAUGCAAGUAGAACGCUGAAGGAGGAGCUUGCUCUUCUGGAUGAGUUGCGAACGGGUGAGUAACGCGUAGGUAACCUGCCUGUUAGCGGGGGAUAACUAUUGGAAACGAUAGCUAAUACCGCAUGACAACAGUUAUUGCAUGAUAACGGUUGAAAAGUGGCAACUGCUCCACUACCAGAUGGGCCUGCGGUGUAUUAGCUAGUUGGAGAGGUAAAGGCUCACCAAGGCGACGAUACAGAGCCGACCUGAGAGGGGGAGCAGCCACACUGGGACGGAGACAGGGCCCAGACGGCUACGGGAGGGAGCAGUAGGGAAUCGGCGGGAAUGGGCGGAAGUCUGAGCGAGCAACGCCGAGGGCGGAUAGAACGAUGUCGGGUCGGAAAGGUCGGUUGUAAGGGAAGAACGAGUGUGAGCGUGGAAAGUUCACUGUGUGACGGUAGCUGACCAGAAAGGAACGGCUAACUACGUG